rnacentral:rRNA from 1 species
UGGCGGACGGGUGAGUAAUGUCUGGGAAACUGCCUGAUGGAGGGGGAUAACUACUGGAAACGGUAGCUAAUACCGCAUAACGUCGCAAGACCAAAGAGGGGACCUUAGGGCCUCUUGCCAUCGGAUGUGCCCAGAUGGGAUUAGCUAGUAGGUGGGGUAACGGCUCACCUAGGCGACGAUCCCUAGCUGGUCUGAGAGGAUGACCAGCCACACUGGAACUGAGACACGGUCCAG